AUUGUUGCAGUGCAGCAACUACGACAUCGAAUACAAAACCCAAGCCCUCACUGCGGCGCUCAACGCUUCCGUGGCGGCCACACUGCCUGAAGAGGAACGCAACGAAAGCUUAAUUGUUUCAGAGUCUAUCGUACGAUUCUGUUCAUAUGGAGUUACCCUUCCGAAGGACCGCUUCAAGUACACGUGCGAGGAGUAUUUGGCUAUGAUCACCGUUACGUGCGACACCCCAGUUGAACUGAGUGUUCCCGACGUUGGCGGCCUAAGCAGGUGCGCUGAGCGGAAUAAAAUUGAGAACAUGUGUAUGAAAGGAGACGUCAUCACUUGGCAGACUUUUAUUGACCUGAUUAACCUGUCGAGCUGUGUCUUCUAUGGUAUCACUUCAGUCCUUCCGUAUCAGGAAUACUAACGAGGCUGCUACCAAAAUCAAUAAAUGUAUGCAGUACAGCCGAACCUGCACUAAAUCAAGCAAAUCUCAGUUACCGACUACAGCAUUUACGUAAUAAAACAUCACAAAGC